UACGUAGGGGGCUAGCGUUGCCCGGAAUCACUGGGCGUAAAGCGCACGCAGGCGGCUCUCUAAGUCAGGGGUGAAAUCCUGGAGCUCAACUCCAGAACUGCCUUUGAUACUGGGGAGCUCGAGUCCGGAAGAGGUGAGUGGAACUCCGAGUGUAGAGGUGAAAUUCGUAGAUAUUCGGAAGAACACCAGUGGCGAAGGCGGCUCACUGGUCCGGUACUGACGCUGAGGUGCGAAAGCGUGGGGAGCGAACAGG
rnacentral:rRNA from 1 species